AGUGAACGCUGGCGGUAGGCCUAACACAUGCAAGUCGAACGGCAGCACAGUAAGAGCUUGCUCUUACGGGUGGCGAGUGGCGGACGGGUGAGGAAUACAUCGGAAUCUACUUUUUCGUGGGGGAUAACGUAGGGAAACUUACGCUCAUACCGCAUACGACCUACGGGUGAAAGCAGGGGAUCUUCGGACCUUGCGCGAUUGAAUGAGCCGCUGUCGGAUUAGCUAGUUGGCGGGGUAAAGGCCCACCAAGGCGACGAUCCGUAGCUGGUCUGAGAGGAUGAUCAGCCACACUGGAACUGAGACACGGUCCAGACUCCUACGGGAGGCAGCAGUGGGGAAUAUUGGACAAUGGGCGCAAGCCUGAUCCAGCCAUACCGCGUGGGUGAAGAAGGCCUUCGGGUUGUAAAGCCCUUUUGUUGGGAAAGAAAAGCAGCAGGUUAAUACCCCGCUGUUCUGACGGUACCCAAAGAAUAAGCACCGGCUAACUUCGUG
rnacentral:rRNA from 1 species